GCAGUAGAAUGUAUAUGAAUAAGAAUGUUAAAAUAUGAGGUAAAAAUAUAAAUAUGUCAAAAACAAUAACAGCAAAAAAACAAAUAUAGGAAUCUAUAUUAUAUAUAAAGGAUACAAUCUAAUCAUUGACUUAUGUUAACCUUAGGCAGCAACCAUUUGAUUUUCUGGGGGGGGGGCUAUGGUAUUUUUUUCUGGACAAUUUUUUUUUUCACCUGCGGCGAAAAACAAUCUAUUUUUUUCGCAACAGGUCGAAAACAAUUUUUUUCUUUCAAUUUUAGCAUGACAUAUAGUGGCAGCUGAGGGUGAAACAAACAAUUUUUUUUUCUCAGAAUCAAAAACAAAUUAUUUUUUUCUCCAAAAACUGGAAACAAACUUUUUUUCCAGAAAAAAACAUAGCCCCCCCCCCAAAAAUCAAAUGGUUGCUGCCUUAAUGUCUGUCAGGUCUAGAGCAUGUAUAUUUACAAAACAUAAGGCUAGUCAGUCAGCAGUGGGCCCCCCUUCAUUCCUGGGUCACUCAGUAUCUACCAAAAACUUACUUUUUUCUGCAAGGACCAUCAGUUUAAAACUAAAAUGGGUACUUCUGAUAAACAGAAAUUUUUUAAAAGAAAAAUAGAAAUUAUGUGUCCAUAACACAAGCAUGCACCUAUCACAAUAUCAUUUUAUGUCUUCAUUAGAACGUGAAAGUGGGGUCAAAACUCUAAUUUGGCAUUAAAAUAAGAAAGAUCAUAUUAUGGGAACAUGUCACUAUUCGUGUACUAAGUUUUAAGUUGAUUAGAAUACCAACUUCAUCAAAAACUGCCUUGACCAAACACUUUAACCUGGAGCGCGACAGAUGGAAGAACGGGCAGAAGGAUGGAAAGACGAAAAACAUUAAAAUUAUGCCCCUAGGUGUGGGAUAAAAAUUGAAUCAAAUGAGUACUAUAUUUCUCCUAUCUAUGACAGAUUGUCUCCAUUUUAGCUAUACUUUCAAUACAGUCAGUAUGAUUUGUGUGUACAUUGUACCUUUAUGUAUGACAUAGAUAACCACUGAUGAAAACAAUCACAUUAUUAUUAGACUAGUUAUUAACCUCCGUUUACUGAGCAAAACACACAUAUUAAUUACCUAAACAAUACAGUGUUACAUUUUAUACAUAAAGUGUUUCUAUUCAUAAAGCAGCAGGUUAUUCAUUGGUGAUAAAAUUGAUUGAUUGGUGAAUGCUUUAUGCCACAUCAGAACAAAAAGGCUAUAUCAUGGACUCAUGGUUGUUGAUAAAAAUAUCUUUUUUGGUUGAAAUAUGAUUCAAAAUACUGAAUACAAAUUUUCAGUUCCAUAUUCUAAGCCGAAAGAAACAUCUUUUUUAUUCAAAAAAUCACUCUUCCAAAGUAAAACUCCUAAAACACUAAUGUAUUAUCAGUUUACCAAACUUAAUACUCCCAUUAACACAUAAGCUUACUACUGAAAAUGGGAGAUAACUCAUUACUUUUUUAUUAUUGUGGAAAACUAGAUUUCAAAUCCAUUCAAUCCUUUAUAAUUUUUUAAUUGUUUGCAUAAUAUUCUAUAGUGAAGAAUUAUAUUUAUAACUUAGACUGUCUGUUUCACAGAAUUAAAAGCAAUCUAAAAAAAGUUGACAAAUUUUCAACCAAGUAUUAUAAAUGUUCUAUUUCAAUCUUUUGUUACAAUCAAAUAAUUAUUUAUCACAGUUUAUCUUAAUCAGCAGUAUUCUUACUAAAAGCACUAUAAUUCUAAUUAAAAAAUUACGAAAUUAAAGACAUACAAAAAUAAAGUUUAACACACUCUUGAACCAUCUUGUGAAAAAUACAAUCAUAACAAAAAACAUCUGAAAGAACAAUUCAAUCACUUAAAAGCAAACAACAACAACUAUAUUGCAGUAUUUAUUAUAUGGGGAAAAUAUGCUAAGUAUCUGAUCCCCCUCAAUCUCCUUAAAAUACUAUGAUUUUUAAUUAAUAAUCAGCGUUCCCCCAUGUAUCAUGUUGCUAUUUGAAUAGAUUAUAAAAUGGAAUCUUUUUAAAAUUCAGUGUUAUAAUAUUAUGGAAACAGAUCCAUUUCAAACCACAUGGUGCUAUUUGAAAAUACAGGGGAGACAAAUAUGAUAAUUGCUACAUAUUUAUAUCCUAUAAUGUAUAUAUCAAAUAAAAGACUUAUGGUUUUAAUACUGAUUUAUUUUUGGCAACAAAAGUUUUUGACAGUUAAGUUAUUGAAAUUUUGACAAAUGAUCAUCUACUAAUGUAUCUAUUUUAUUUCAUUUUUAUCUUUGGAACAUCUUCAGCAGUAUAAAUUUGUAUUAAAGACUUUUA
rnacentral:lncRNA from 1 species